rnacentral:rRNA from 1 species
AGAGUUUGAUCCUGGCUCAGGAUGAACGCUAGCGGCAGGCCUAAUACAUGCAAGUCGAACGGAUUUUGAGUUUUCGGAUUCAGAAUUAGUGGCGCACGGGUGCGUAACGCGUACACAACAUACCCUUGACAGGGGGAUAGCGGCGGGAAACUGCCAGUAAUACCCCAUAUCGUUAUGAGACGGCAUCGUUUUAUAAUGAAAGUUUCGGCGGUUCGGGAUUGGUGUGCGUCCGAUUAGCUAGUUGGAGAGGUAACGGCUCACCAAGGCGAUGAUCGGUAGGGGGUGUGAGAGCAUGGCCCCCCACACGGGUACUGAGACACGGACCCGACUCCUACGGGAGGCAGCAGUAAGGAAUAUUGGACAAUGGGCGGAAGCCUGAUCCAGCCAUGCCGCGUGAAGGAAGACUGCGCUCAGCGUUGUAAACUUCUUUUGGAUGGGAAUAAUAAUGUCGACGUGAUCGGCACUUGAAGGUACCAUCAGAAUAAGCACCGGCUAACUCCGUGCCAGCAGCCGCGGUAAUGCGGAGGGUGCAAGCGUUAUCCGGAAUCACUGGGUUUAAAGGGUGCGUAGGCGGUUUGAUAAGUCAGUUGUGAAAUUCCCCGGCUUAACCGGCGGGACUGCGAUUGAUACUGUCAGACUUGAAUUAGGUUGAGGUAGGUGGAAUGUGGCAUGUAGCGGUGAAAUGCAUAGAUAUGCCAUAGAACACCGAUUGCGAAGGCAGCUUGCUGGACCUUAAUUGACGCUGAGGCACGAAAGCGUGGGGAGCAAACAGGAUUAGAUACCCUGGUAGUCC